rnacentral:rRNA from 1 species
AUUGAACGCUGGCGGCAUGCCUUACACAUGCAAGUCGAACUGCAGCACGGGUGCUUGCACCUGGUGGCGAGUGGCGAACGGGUGAGUAAUACAUCGGAACAUGUCCUGUAGUGGGGGAUAGCCCGGCGAAAGCCGGAUUAAUACCGCAUACGAUCUACGGAUGAAAGCGGGGGACCUUCGGGCCUCGCGCUAUAGGGUUGGCCGAUGGCUGAUUAGCUAGUUGGUGGGGUAAAGGCCUACCAAGGCGACGAUCAGUAGCUGGUCUGAGAGGACGACCAGCCACACUGGGACUGAGACACGGCCCAGACUCCUACGGGAGGCAGCAGUGGGGAAUUUUGGACAAUGGGCGAAAGCCUGAUCCAGCAAUGCCGCGUGUGUGAAGAAGGCCUUCGGGUUGUAAAGCACUUUUGUCCGGAAAGAAAUCCUUGGCUCUAAUACAGUCGGGGGAUGACGGUACCGGAAGAAUAAGCACCGGCUAACUACGUG